CGUAGGGGGCAAACGUUGUCCGGAUUUACUGGGUGUAAAGGGUGCUCAGGCGGUUUUGUAAGUCAGAAGUGAAAUCCUAGGGCUUAACUCUGGAACUGCUUUUGAUACUGCAAGGCUUGAAUAUGGAAGAGGAGGGCGGAAUUUCUGGUGUAGCAGUGAAAUGCGUAGAUAUCAGAAAGAACACCAGUGGCGAAGGCGGCCCUCUGGUCCAUUAUUGACGCUAAAGCACGAAAGCGUGGGGAGCAAACAGGAUUAGAUACCCUGGUAGUCCACGCCUUAAACGACGAAUACUAGACGUUGGGGUUAAACUCAGUGUCGCAGCUAACGCAUUAAGUAUUCCACCUGGGGAGUACGAUCGCAAGGUUG
rnacentral:rRNA from 1 species